rnacentral:rRNA from 1 species
GACGAACGCUGGCGGCGUGCCUAAUACAUGCAAGUAGAACGCUGAAGGAGGAGCUUGCUUCUCCGGAUGAGUUGCGAACGGGUGAGUAACGCGUAGGUAACCUGCCUGGUAGCGGGGGAUAACUAUUGGAAACGAUAGCUAAUACCGCAUAAGAGUAGAUGUUGCAUGACAUUUGCUUAAAAGGUGCAAUUGCAUCACUACCAGAUGGACCUGCGUUGUAUUAGCUAGUUGGUGAGGUAACGGCUCACCAAGGCGACGAUACAUAGCCGACCUGAGAGGGUGAUCGGCCACACUGGGACUGAGACACGGCCCAGACUCCUACGGGAGGCAGCAGCAGGGAAUCUUCGGCAAUGGACGGAAGUCUGACCGAGCAACGCCGCGUGAGUGAAGAAGGUUUUCGGAUCGUAAAGCUCUGUUGUAAGAGAAGAACGAGUGUGAGAGUGGAAAGUUCACACUGUGACGGUAUCUUACCAGAAAGGGACGGCUAACUACGUG